rnacentral:snRNA from 1 species
AUCAUUUCUCGACCUUUUGGCUAAGAUCAAAUGUGUAUCUGUUUUUAUCAGCUUAAUAUCCAAUAUAUCCUCUAUCUGAGGACAAUAUAUUAAAUAGAUUUUAGAUAUGGAAGAUGGGAUUGGAGUUUGAUCCACCUAUUUCAUGUGUGGACCUAGUGUCACAGAAUCUCGAUAAAUGGUACACCCCCU